UUCUCUGAUGUUAGCGGCGGACGGGUGAGUAACACGUGGAUAACCUACCUAUAAGACUGGGAUAACUUCGGGAAACCGGAGCUAAUACCGGAUAAUAUUUUGAACCGCAUGGUUCAAAAGUGAAAGACGGUCUUGCUGUCACUUAUAGAUGGAUCCGCGCUGCAUUAGCUAGUUGGUAAGGUAACGGCUUACCAAGGCAACGAUGCAUAGCCGACCUGAGAGGGUGAUCGGCCACACUGGAACUGAGACACGGUCCAGACUCCUACGGGAGGCAGCAGUAGGGAAUCUUCCGCAAUGGGCGAAAGCCUGACGGAGCAACGCCGCGUGAGUGAUGAAGGUCUUCGGAUCGUAAAACUCUGUUAUUAGGGAAGAACAUAUGUGUAAGUAACUGUGCACAUCUUGACGGUACCUAAUCAGAAAGCCACGGCUAACUACGUGCCAGCAGCCGCGGUAAUACGUAGGUGGCAAGCGUUAUCCGGAAUUAUUGGGCGUAAAGCGCGCGUAGGCGGUUUUUUAAGUCUGAUGUGAAAGCCCACGGCUCAACCGUGGAGGGUCAUUGGAAACUGGAAAACUUGAGUGCAGAAGAGGAAAGUGGAAUUCCAUGUGUAGCGGUGAAAUGCGCAGAGAUAUGGAGGAACACCAGUGGCGAAGGCGACUUUCUGGUCUGUAACUGACGCUGAUGUGCGAAAGCGUGGGGAUCAAACAGGAUUAGAUACCCUGGUAGUCCACGCCGUAAACGAUGAGUGCUAAGUGUUAGGGGGUUUCCGCCCCUUAGUGCUGCAGCUAACGCAUUAAGCACUCCGCCUGGGGAGUACGACCGCAAGGUUGAAACUCAAAGGAAUUGACGGGGACCCGCACAAGCGGUGGAGCAUGUGGUUUAAUUCGAAGCAACGCGAAGAACCUUACCAAAUCUUGACAUCCUUUGACAACUCUAGAGAUAGAGCCUUCCCCUUCGGGGGACAAAGUGACAGGUGGUGCAUGGUUGUCGUCAGCUCGUGUCGUGAGAUGUUGGGUUAAGUCCCGCAACGAGCGCAACCCUUAAGCUUAGUUGCCAUCAUUAAGUUGGGCACUCUAAGUUGACUGCCGGUGACAAACCGGAGGAAGGUGGGGAUGACGUCAAAUCAUCAUGCCCCUUAUGAUUUGGGCUACACACGUGCUACAAUGGACAAUACAAAGGGCAGCGAAACCGCGAGGUCAAGCAAAUCCCAUAAAGUUGUUCUCAGUUCGGAUUGUAGUCUGCAACUCGACUACAUGAAGCUGGAAUCGCUAGUAAUCGUAGAUCAGCAUGCUACGGUGAAUACGUUCCCGGGUCUUGUACACACCGCCCGUCACACCACGAGAGUUUGUAACACCCGAAGCCGGUGGAGUAACCUUUUAGGAGCUAGCCGUCGAAGGUGGGACAAAUGAUUGGGGUGAAGUCGUAACAAGGUAGCCGUAUCGGAAGGUGCGGCUGGAUCACCUCCUUU
rnacentral:rRNA from 1 species